GGUCAUGAGUGCCAGCAUCUAGCCCCGGCUUGCUGGCCGGCAACCCUCCAACCGCGGUGGGGUGCUCCGGGUGAAGACCAGGUUGAGCGGUCGAAUGGCGACUGCCGGCAAGCGCGGGUC
rnacentral:ncRNA from 2 species